GACAUGAAGGGCGUAGGGUGGAUGCCUAGGCACCAGAUGCCGACGAAGGACGUCGCAGACGACGAUAUUCCUCGGGGAGCUGUCAAGCGAGCAUUGAUCCGGGGGUUUCCGAAUGGGGUAACCCGGUGCGGUGAAGCCGCAUCACGCCGCAGCAAUGCGGCGAGGGCACCCGGCGAAGUGAAACAUCUCAGUAGCCGGAGGAAAAGAAAACAAGCGCUGCUGUUUUGCAGCGGAAUGUCCAAUGACCAAUUUCCAAUGUCCAAAUUUGGGUAUUGGGAUUUGGGAAUUGGUCAUUCCGCGCGAAGCGCGGUGUCAUUCCCCAAGUAGCGGCGAGCGAACGGGGAAGAGCCGAAACCACGGAGGACGAGAUGCGUGAAAGACACUGCUGCCGCAAGGUGGCAGUGAGGAGUAGUGCGUCUUACGCCGGGACGGGUACAUCCUGCGUGGGGUUAUCGCGUGGUGAGACGGGUCCGUCCAGAGACCCGGAUUGGAGAAACUCCGAGAAGGUCAUGACUUCCCUCAUCGAAGCUCCUGGAACGGAGCGCCAGAGAAGGUGAAAGCCCUGUAGGUAAAAGGGGUCAUGCUCCAGUGUCAUCACUGCGGAAGUAGGGCGGGACUCGUGAAACCCCGCCUGAAAUAGGGGCGACUACGCUCCAAGGCUAAAUACAUCUGGUGACCGAUAGUGAAC
rnacentral:rRNA from 1 species